AUUGAACGCUAGCGGGAUGCUUUACACAUGCAAGUCGAACGAGUGGCGGACGGGUGAGUAAUAUAUCGGAACGUGCCCAGUAGCGGGGGAUAACUACUCGAAAGAGUGGCUAAUACCGCAUACUAUUGUAGCGGCCGAUAUCGGAUUAGCUAGUUGGUGGGGUAAAGGCUCACCAAGGCAACGAUCCGUAGCUGGUUUGAGAGGACGACCAGCCACACUGGGACUUAGACACGGCCUAAACUCCUACGGGAGGAACCAUAGGGUAAUUUGCGCCACGGGGGCAACACCUGAGCAAGCCAUCCCGAGGGUUUGACAAGGCCUUAGGCGUGUAAAGUACUUUUUCCCGAGAAGCGGUAUCUGCCUAAUAAGCAACGGCGAACUACGUUUCAGCAGCCGCGGUAAUAC
rnacentral:rRNA from 1 species